GGAUUGAUGAUGAUGACUUAAAAAAUAGAUCUCAUUGGAAUCUAAACAAAACGAGUGACCAAACCACUUCUGUAAAAUGAGGUCC
ensembl:snoRNA SNORD116 Small nucleolar RNA SNORD116